rnacentral:rRNA from 1 species
GACGAACGCUGGCGGCGUGCCUAAUACAUGCAAGUAGAACGCACAGUUUAUACCGUAGCUUGCUACACCAUAGACUGUGAGUUGCGAACGGGUGAGUAACGCGUAGGUAACCUGCCUGGUAGCGGGGGAUAACUAUUGGAAACGAUAGCUAAUACCGCAUAAUAUUAAUUAUUGCAUGAUAAUUGAUUGAAAGAUGCAACUGCAUCACUACCAGAUGGACCUGCGUUGUAUUAGCUAGUAGGUGAGGUAACGGCUCACCUAGGCGACGAUACAUAGCCGACCUGAGAGGGUGAUCGGCCACACUGGGACUGAGACACGGCCCAGACUCCUACGGGAGGCAGCAGUAGGGAAUCUUCGGCAAUGGACGAAAGUCUGACCGAGCAACGCCGCGUGAGUGAAGAAGGGUUUCGGAUCGUAAGGCUCUGUUGUAAGAGAAGAACGGGUGUGAGAGUGGAAAGUUCACACUGUGACGGUAUCUUACCAGAAAGGGACGGCUAACUACGUG